rnacentral:rRNA from 1 species
CUGCUGCCUCCCGUAGGAGUCUGGUCCGUGUCUCAGUACCAGUGUGGGGGACCUUCCUCUCAGAACCCCUAGACAUCGUCGCCUUGGUGGGCCGUUGCCCCGCCAACUAGCUAAUGUCACGCAUGCCCAUCCGUUGCCGGAAUCGCUCCCUUUGGCCGCAGGGCCGUGCAGCCCCGCGGCGUUACGCGGUAUUAGACGGGAUUUCUCCCGAUUAUCCCCCCUGCAACGGGCAGGUCGCAUACGCGUUACUCACCCGUGCGCCGG